rnacentral:rRNA from 1 species
UACGAAGGGGGCUAGCGUUGCUCGGAAUCACUGGGCGUAAAGCGCACGUAGGCGGCUUUUUAAGUCAGGGGUGAAAUCCUGGAGCUCAACUCCAGAACUGCCUUCGAUACUGGAGAGCUCGAGUCCGGGAGAGGUGAGUGGAACUGCGAGUGUAGAGGUGAAAUUCGUAGAUAUUCGCAAGAACACCAGUGGCGAAGGCGGCUCACUGGCCCGGUACUGACGCUGAGGUGCGAAAGCGUGGGGAGCAAACAGG